AGCAAAGCAGUUGCAGAUGCCAUUAGGUAUGCCAUACAAAAACAAUUUCGUGAGCCUAUCUAUGGUUGGAGUGCAACCACUGACAUAAUUAGACAAGAUUGGUUUGAAAAGAGAAGGUAUCGUGGGAUCCUUGUCAUAAUAAUAUUGUGAAACGUCUGUUUGAACAAAAGGCCGCUAAAAGACUAUCAGAUAUGCUUACAAAGGUGAGGAAAAAAGGGACUCGACCUAGUUGGAUAGGUGAGGAAGCUUGGACUGGUCUUCAAGCAUAUUGGGAAGGUACAUCAUUCAAGAACAUCUCCAACCAAAAUAAGACCAAUCGAGCUUCAACAAGAGGCGGGGCUGUCCACACCUCAGGCCGCAAAGCUCAUAUUGAUGUUGCGAUUGAGCUUAGCAAUAACCUUCAAAGAGAUUUACUUCCAGAUGAGUUAUUUUUGACAACCCACAAGAGAAAAAAUGGCACUUGGGUUGAUAGUCGCGCAGAAUCUACCUAUGUAUGUUCUUUAUUUAUGUAAAUUCUUUAUGCAAAUUCUUUAUAUUACAAAUCAACCAAAAAAUAAUAUGAUGUCAUUUAUACCUAGAAGAACAAUCCCUUUAUUAUA